CAUUCCUGUACCGAUGUGUAGUGCGAUGUGGGGACGGAUCUUAAUAGGUCAUCCGGGUGUUGGAUAUCCCGGUUUAGUUGGAAGUAGGCGAUGGGUAGGCAAAUCCGCCCGUCAUAUACCGAGGCCAACGAUCGAGCCAGCUUGCUGGUGAAGUGACUGAACGAGGUUCCAGGAAAAGCCACUAAGCUUCAGCUAUACACGACCGUACCGCAAACCGACACUGGUGCGCGAGAUGAGUAUUCUAAGGCGCUUGAGAGAACUCAGGAGAAGGAACUCGGCAAAUUGACACCGUAACUUUGGAAGAAGGUGUGCCCUAUUAGUGUGAAGUGAACAACGGAGCAUGAAUGGGUUGCAAAAAAUCGGUGGCUGCGACUGUUUAUUAAAAACACAGCACUCUGCAAACACGGAAGUGGACGUAUAGGGUGUGACGCCUGCCCGGUGCUGGAAGAUUAAAUGAUGGGGUGCAAGCUCUUGAUUGAAGUCCCAGUAAACGGCGGCCGUAACAAUAACGGUCCUAAGGUAGCGAAAUUCCUUGUCGGGUAAGUUCCGACCUGCACGAAUGGCGUAACGAUGGCCACACUGUCUCCUCCUGAGACUCAGCGAAGUUGAAAUGUUUGUGAUGAUGCAAUCUCCCCGCGGAAAGACGGAAAGACCCCAUGAACCUUUACUGUAGCUUUGUAUUGGACUUUGAACAGAUCUGUGUAGGAUAGGUGGGAGGCUUUGAAGCAGGGUCGCUAGAUCUUGUGGAGCCAACGUUGAAAUACCACCCUGGUGUGUUUGAGGUUCUAACCUAGGUCCAUUAUCUGGAUCGGGGACAGUGCAUGGUAGGCAGUUUGACUGGGGCGGUCUCCUCCCAAAGCGUAACGGAGGAGUUCGAAGGUACGCUAGUUACGGUCGGACAUCGCGACGAUAGUGCAAUGGCAUAAGCGUGCUUAACUGCGAGACUGACAAGUCGAGCAGAUGCGAAAGCAGGACAUAGUGAUCCGGUGGUUCUGUAUGGAAGGGCCAUCGCUCAACGGAUAAAAGGUACUCUGGGGAUAACAGGCUGAUACCGCCCAAGAGUUCAUAUCGACGGCGGUGUUUGGCACCUCGAUGUCGGCUCAUCUCAUCCUGGGGCUGUAGCCGGUCCCAAGGGUAUGGCUGUUCGCCAUUUAAAGAGGUACGUGAGCUGGGUUUAAAACGUCGUGAGACAGUUUGGUCCCUAUCUUCCGUGGGCGCUGCAGAUUUGAGGAAGCCUGCUCCUAGUACGAGAGGACCGGAGUGGACACACCUCUGGUGUAUCGGUUGUCACGCCAGUGGCAUUGCCGAGUAGCUAAGUGUGGAAGAGAUAACCGCUGAAAGCAUCUAAGCGGGAAACUCGUUUCAAGAUGAGAUCUGCCGGGGCCUUGAGCCCCCUGAAGAGUCGUUCAAGACCAGUACGUUGAUAGGUCAGGUGUGGAAGCGCAGUAAUGCGUUAAGCUAACUGAUACUAAUUGCUCGUGCGGCUUGACC
rnacentral:rRNA from 1 species